rnacentral:ncRNA from 2 species
AUAAUCAUAAAACAUAUUGGUGCAAAUAGCAUUUGUUAUUUGCUUAAAAGGGAAAUCGGUGCAAUUCCGAUGCUGUCCCGCAACUGUAAAUGGGGAGUCUAUACAAUAUGCCACUGUAGCGUCAUGCUACGGGAAGGCGUAUAGAUGAUGAACCUAAGCCAGGAGACCUGCCAGUAUAGAUGGAUGAAC